CCAACAGUCCUUUUCAGGACUACUCACACACUCUAGAAAGAAAGAU
rfam:Strongylocentrotus purpuratus Contig19527_fixed, whole genome shotgun sequence.